GGUUGAUCCCGCCGGAGGUCACUGCUAUUGGGAUUCGACUAAGCCAUGCGAGUCGCGAGGGUUCGGCCCUCGGCUGACGGCUCAGUAACACGCGGAUAAUCUGCCCUUAGGUGGAGGAUAAUCUCGGGAAACUGAGAAUAAUAUUCCAUAGAUUUAGGAUGCUGGAAUGCACUUAAAUUAAAAGCUUCGGCGCCUAAGGAUGAGUCUGCGGACUAUCAGGUUGUACUCAGGGUAACGACCUGACUAGCCUACGACGGAUACGGGUUGUGAGACCAAUAACCCGGAGAUGAUAUCUGAGACACGAUAUCAGGCCCUACGGGGUGCAUUAGGCGCUAACACUUCCCUAUGUGCCAAACUACUACGAGGGACUCCUCAGUCCUGUCUCGUUCCACUCCCCUCC
rnacentral:rRNA from 1 species